AGUGAACGCUGGCGGUAGGCCUAACACAUGCAAGUCGAACGGCAGCACAGUAAGAGCUUGCUCUUACGGGUGGCGAGUGGCGGACGGGUGAGGAAUACAUCGGAAUCUACUUUUUCGUGGGGGAUAACGUAGGGAAACUUACGCUAAUACCGCAUACGACCUACGGGUGAAAGCAGGGGAUCUUCGGACCUUGCGCGAUUGAAUGAGCCGAUGUCGGAUUAGCUAGUUGGCGGGGUAAAGGCCCACCAAGGCGACGAUCCGUAGCUGGUCUGAGAGGAUGAUCAGCCACACUGGAACUGGGACACGGUCCAGACUCCUACGGGAGGCAGAAGUGGGGAAUAUUGGACAAUGGGCGCAAGCCUGAUCCAGCCAUACCGCGUGGGUGAAGAAGGCCUUCGGGUUGUAAAGCCCUUUUGUUGGGAAAGAAAAGCAGCAGGUUAAUACCCCGCUGUUCUGACGGUACCCAAAGAAUAAGCACCGGCUAACUUCGUG
rnacentral:rRNA from 1 species